rfam:Thermodesulfobacterium geofontis OPF15, complete genome.
GCCGAGGUGGCGGAACUGGAAGACGCGGCGGACUCAAAAUCCGCUGGAGGUUAACUCCGUGCGGGUUCGACUCCCGCCCUCGGCA